CCUCUAUCAGUAUCUACUUGGAUAGGACCUGAAUCAUCUUCUCCUCAUGAAUCUUUGCUCCAAAAAUUAGAACUAAAUCUGAUUAGGAAGAUCUUUAAAAAUCUUUCUGAAGUUGGAACAGCAGCCUGUUAAAGAAGUCCUGCAGCCUUCCUGUUCAAGACAUCACCGCACCUUAGACCUUUGCCAGAUGGACGUCCAACUCCUAGGAUGUGAAGAG
rnacentral:lncRNA from 1 species